rnacentral:rRNA from 1 species
UACGGGGGGGGGCAAGCGUUGUUCGGAAUUACUGGGCGUAAAGGGCUCGUAGGCGGCCAACUAAGUCGGAUGUGAAAUCCCCAGGCUUAACCUGGGAACUGCAUCCGAUACUGGAUGGCUUGAAUCCGGGAGAGGGAUGCAGAAUUCCAGGUGUAGCGGUGAAAUGCGUAGAUAUCGGGAGGAACACCAAUGGCGAAGGCAGCUUGCUGGGACGGUACUGACGCUGAGACGCGAAAGCGUGGGGAGCAAACAGG